AGAGUUUGAUCCUGGCUCAGGAUGAACGCUAGCUACAGGCUUAACACAUGCAAGUCGCGGGGCAGCAUGGGGGUUGCUUGCAACCCCCGAUGGCGACCGGCGCACGGGUGAGUAACGCGUAUCCAACCUGCCCUUCACCACGGGAUAACCCGGCGAAAGUCGGACUAAUACCGUAUGUUGUCCAUUGACGGCAUCCGAUUUGGACGAAAGGCUUGGCGGUGAAGGAUGGGGAUGCGUCCGAUUAGCUUGACGGCGGGGUAACGGCCCACCGUGGCUACGAUCGGUAGGGGUUCUGAGAGGAAGGUCCCCCACACUGGAACUGAGACACGGUCCAGACUCCUACGGGAGGCAGCAGUGAGGAAUAUUGGUCAAUGGACGAGAGUCUGAACCAGCCAAGUAGCGUGCAGGAUGACGGCCCUAUGGGUUGUAAACUGCUUUUAUGCGGGGAUAAAGUGGCCCACGUGUGGGUUUUUGCAGGUACCGCAUGAAUAAGGACCGGCUAAUUCCGUGCCAGCAGCCGCGGUAAUACGGAAGGUCCAGGCGUUAUCCGGAUUUAUUGGGUUUAAAGGGAGCGUAGGCGGAUUAUUAAGUCAGUGGUGAAAGACGGUGGCUCAACCAUCGUUAGCCAUUGAAACUGGUAGUCUUGAGUGCAGACAGGGAUGCUGGAACUCGUGGUGUAGCGGUGAAAUGCUUAGAUAUCACGAUGAACUCCGAUCGCGAAGGCAGGUGUCCGGGCUGCAACUGACGCUGAGGCUCGAAAGUGUGGGUAUCAAACAGGAUUAGAUACCCUGGUAGUCCACACAGUAAACGAUGUAUACUCGCGGUUUGCGAUACAAUGUAAGCCGCCAAGCGAAAGCAUUAAGUAUACCACCUGGGGAGUACGCCGGCAACGGUGAAACUCAAAGGAAUUGACGGGGGCCC
rnacentral:rRNA from 1 species